rnacentral:piRNA from 1 species
UCCCUGUUGAAGUCACUGAAGGCACAUC